GCUUCGGGGGGUAGAGCACUGGAUGGGCUAGGGGGACUUACCGUCUUACCAAACCCAACCAAACUCCGAAUACCCGAAAGCACUGCGCGGGAGACACACGGUGGGUGCUAACGUCCAUCGUGGAGAGGGAAAAAACCCUGACCUACAGCUAAGGCCCCCAAUUCGUGGCUAAGUGGGAAAGGAUGUGGGAAUGCCAAAACAACCAGGAGGUUGGCUUAGAAGCAGCCAUCCUUUAAAGAAAGCGUAACAGCUCACUGGUCUAAAUAAGCGUUCCUGCGCCGAAAAUGUAACGGGGCUCAAGCCACGAGCCGAAGCUUAGGGUGCAUCGCAAGAUGCGCGGUAGCGGAGCGUUCUGCCGCCAGCGAAGGGGGACCCGUGAGGGCCCCUGGAGGUUGCAGAAGUGCGAAUGCUGGCACGAGUAACGACAAACAGUGUGAGAGACACUGUCGCCGAAAGUCCAAGGGUUCCUGCGUAAAGUUAAUCUGCGCAGGGUUAGCCGGUCCCUAAGGCGAGGCCGAAAGGCGUAGUCGAUGGGAACCACGUUAAUAUUCGUGGGCCAGCGGGUGGUGACGAAUUCCAAAAGUUGUUUCCGGUUACUGGAUUCCGGGAGCAGCGAAGGGGUUCCAGGAAAUAGCCCCCGCGUAGACCGUACCCGAAACCGACACAGUUGGACUGGUAGAGCAUACCAAGGCGCUUGAGUGAACUAUGCUGAAGGAACUCGGCAAUCUGCCUGCGUAACUUCGGGAUAAGCAGGACCCCGCUUUGGGCAACCAUUGCGGGGUGGCACAGACCAGGGGGUGGCGACUGUUUAGCAAAAACACAGGACUCUGCGAAAUCGUAAGAUGACGUAUAGGGUCUGACGCCUGCCCGGUGCCGGAAGGUUAAGAGGAGGGGUGCAAGCCUUGAAUCGAAGCCCCGGUAAACGGCGGCCGUAACUAUAACGGUCCUAAGGUAGCGAAAUUCCUUGUCGGGUAAGUUCCGACCUGCACGAAUGGCGUAACGACUUCCCCGCUGUCUCCAGCAUAGACUCAGUGAAAUUGAAUUCCCCGUGAAGAUGCGGGGUUCCUGCGGUCAGACGGAAAGACCCCGUGCACCUUUACUGUAGCUUUGCACUGGUAUUCGUGACUGCUUGUGUAGAAUAGGUGGUAGGCUUUGAAGCCCGGGCGCUAGCCUGAGUGGAGCCGCAAUGUGAAAUACCACCCUGGUGGUUAUGGAUAUCUAACCGCGUCCCGUCAUCCGGGACCGGGACAGUGCAUGGUGGGCAGUUUGACUGGGGCGGUCGCCUCCCAAAGAGUAACGGAGGCGUUCGAUGGUAGGCUCAGAGCGGUCGGAAAUCGCUCGUUGAGUGCAAUGGCAUAAGCCUGCCUGACUGCGAGACAGACAAGUCGAGCAGAGACGAAAGUCGGACAUAGUGAUCCGGUGGUCCC
rnacentral:rRNA from 1 species